AGAGUUUGAUCCUGGCUCAGGAUGAACGCUGGCGGCGUGCUUAACACAUGCAAGUCGAACGGUGAACACGGAGCUUGCUCUGUGGGAUCAGUGGCGAACGGGUGAGUAACACGUGAGCAACCUGCCCCUGACUCUGGGAUAAGCGCUGGAAACGGCGUCUAAUACUGGAUACGAACCAUGAAGGCAUCUUCAGUGGUUGGAAAGAUUUAUUGGUUGGGGAUGGGCUCGCGGCCUAUCAGCUUGUUGGUGAGGUAAUGGCUCACCAAGGCGUCGACGGGUAGCCGGCCUGAGAGGGUGACCGGCCACACUGGGACUGAGACACGGCCCAGACUCCUACGGGAGGCAGCAGUGGGGAAUAUUGCACAAUGGGCGCAAGCCUGAUGCAGCAACGCCGCGUGAGGGAUGACGGCCUUCGGGUUGUAAACCUCUUUUAGCAGGGAAGAAGCGAAAGUGACG
rnacentral:rRNA from 1 species